ACUCAAAUGAAUAGACGGGGACUUGCACAAGCGGUGGAUUAUGCGGUUUAAUUCGAUGACAAACGAAGAACCUUACCAAGAUUAGAAAUUCAAGUGAAGAAUAUAGAAAUAUAAACGUCCGCAAGGACACUUGAACAGGUGAUGCAUGGCCGUCGUCAGUUCGUGAUUUGAAUUGUUCCCUUAAGUGGGGUAACGAACGCAACCCUUGUUGCCUGUUAUACGUAUCAGGCGAGACUGCCCAGCUUUUUGGAUGCAAACGUAAGUUUGUGAACAGAGAGCUGGGAGGAAGCGAGGAUGACGCCAGGUCAGCAUGUCCCUCUGACAUCUUGGGCUACACGCAUAAUACAAUGGCCACUACAACGGGUCGCGACGGGGUAACCCUGAGCCAAUCCUAUAAAAGUGGCCCCAGUUCGGAUUGGGGGCUGCAACUCGACCCCAUGAAGUUGGAAUCGCUAGUAAUCGCGGGUCAGACAUACCGCGGUGAAUACGUUCUCAAGUCUUGUACACACCGCCCGU
rnacentral:rRNA from 1 species